UCGGGUAUGGUGUAGCGGUAACAUCGCUGACUCUCAUCUUGCAAAGAAGACGAUUCUCAGCAGCCCGGGGUUCGACUCCCCGUAUCCGAG